rnacentral:rRNA from 1 species
GGAGGUAGUGACAAUAAAUCACAAUGCGGGACUUCAUGUCUUGCAAUUGAAUUGAGAACAAUGUACAACUCUUAUCGAUAAACUAUUGGAGGGCAAGUCUGGUGCCAGCAGCCGCGGUAAUUCCAGCUCCAAUAGCGUAUAUUAACGUUGUUGCAGUUAAAAAGCUCGUAGUUGAAGUGUGGAUGUGAUGGUCGUUCGGAUUGUUCUGAAUGUCCUGAAUCAUCCCCUUCCAGUGUUCACUGAUGGGUAUUAAUUUACUUGUGAGUGGGUAUUGGUCGUUUACUGUGAGAAAAUUAGAGUGUUCAAAGCAGACGUUUGUUUGAAUACAUUAGCAUGGAAUAAUAAUUGAAGGCUUUCGUGUUCGAUUUGAUUGGUUUGUUCAUGGAAGCAAGGUUAAAAGGAGCAGUUGGGGGUAUUCAUAUUCAAUAGUUAGAGGUGAAAUUCUCGGAUUUAUGGAAGAUGAACAAGUGCGAAAGCA